rnacentral:tRNA from 1 species
GAGAUUGUAGCUCAGCUGGUUAGAGCGUCGGUUUGUGGCACCGAAGGUCGAGGGUUCGAACCCCUUCAGUCUCCCGCCA